GACGAACGCUGGCGGCGUGCUUAACACAUGCAAGUCGAACGGAAAGGCCCUGCUUUUGUGGGGUGCUCGAGUGGCGAACGGGCGAGUAACACGUGAGUAACCUGCCCUUGACUUUGGGAUAACUUCAGGAAACUGGGGCUAAUACCGGAUAGGAGCUCCUGCUGCAUGGUGGGGGUUGGAAAGUUUCGGCGGUUGGGGAUGGACUCGCGGCUUAUCAGCUUGUUGGUGGGGUAGUGGCUUACCAAGGCUUUGACGGGUAGCCGGCCUGAGAGGGUGACCGGCCACAUUGCGACUGAGAUACGGCGCAGACUCCUACGGGCGGCAGCAGUGGGGAAUACUGCAACAUGGGCGGAAGCCUGAUGCAGCAACGCCGCGUGCGGGAUGACGGCCUUCGGGUUGUACACCGCUUUCGCCUGUGACGAAGCGUGAGUGACGGUAAUGGGUAAAGAAGCAACGGCUAACUACGUG
rnacentral:rRNA from 1 species